rnacentral:rRNA from 14 species
GAGACGAGCUGCGAGUCCAGCAGCUUCUGGGCCGCGGCCUUGAACCACGGCACGACGCGCUGCAGCGGGUGCGCAUCCUCGCCGAUGUCCGCACGCACGAUGAAGCCGCGCUGCGCGCCGGCCUUCGCGCG